rnacentral:rRNA from 1 species
UACGAAGGGGGCUAGCGUUGCUCGGAAUCACUGGGCGUAAAGCGCACGUAGGCGGCUUUUUAAGUCAGGGGUGAAAUCCUGGAGCUCAACUCCAGAACUGCCUUUGAUACUGGGAAGCUUGAGUCCGGGAGAGGUGGGUGGAACUCCGAGUGUAGAGGUGAAAUUCGUAGAUAUUCGGAAGAACACCAGUGGCGAAGGCGGCUCACUGGCCCGGUACUGACGCUGAGGUGCGAAAGCAUGGGGAGCAAACAGG